UUCUUUCUUUUCCUCCUUUUCUUUUCUCCCUCUCGGUCCCAUGACAGCAGCUUUCUUCUUCCUCUUUCUUUUUCUCUUUUCUCCUCUGGCUCUCUCGGAUCCGCAGUUCUCUCUUCCCUUCCUUUUAUUUUCUUCCCUUCUUCCUCUCUUCUUCCUUUCUUCUCCUUUCCCACGCACUGCCUUCCUCCUUCCUCCUCUUUCUCUUCCCCUACGGUCAUGAGAGUCGAGUUGAGAGCAACCCAACACGAGAGAGAGAACCUGUGCGCGGGAGGUGGGUUUGGCCGUGGGUGAUGCAGAUUUUGGAGCCGUGGUGGCUGGGCCACCUUCGAUGCAUGGAGGCGACAUCUAGGGCAUGGAUUCUGGCCCUGUUUCGGAUAGUGUUCGAAUUGGAGACUUCAAUGGGUUUUCCAAGGUAGAGUUCGAGUCAUGUGUCCAAUGCAGCCAAAUGAUGUUCCUUUGGUUGCAGGUAUUCCGGUCGUAGCUGAUGAUGUUGUAGAAGUGUACUUUGGAUGUUAUGACUGAAGCUCGCCGUGACGGUCAUAAUUGUGGGACUAUGGGUGUCCUCUAUUUUAUAGGUUUGGUAUAUGUCUUGUGACGCUUGUGUCACAUUAUUUGUAAAGCUAUCCUUUGAUGCAAUUAUUAUUUGGAUAAGCCUUAAACAGAUAGACAUUAUGGCUCUUUUUGUGUAAAUAUCAGUUUAUGUUUAUAAAUGUGACUUCUGCUAUUCAAAUUA